UUGAACGCUGGCGGCAGGCCUAACACAUGCAAGUCGAGCGGUAGCACAGAGAGCUUGCUCUCGGGUGACGAGCGGCGGACGGGUGAGUAAUGUCUGGGAAACUGCCUGAUGGAGGGGGAUAACUACUGGAAACGGUAGCUAAUACCGCAUAAUGUCGCAAGACCAAAGUGGGGGACCUUCGGGCCUCAUGCCAUCAGAUGUGCCCAGAUGGGAUUAGCUAGUAGGUGGGGUAACGGCUCACCUAGGCGACGAUCCCUAGCUGGUCUGAGAGGAUGACCAGCCACACUGGAACUGAGACACGGUCCAGACUCCUACGGGAGGCAGCAGUGGGGAAUAUUGCACAAUGGGCGCAAGCCUGAUGCAGCCAUGCCGCGUGUGUGAAGAAGGCCUUCGGGUUGUAAAGCACUUUCAGCGGGGAGGAAGGCGGUGAGGUUAAUAACCACAUCGAUUGACGUUACCCGCAGAAGAAGCACCGGCUAACUCCGUGCCAGCAGCCGCGGUAAUACGGAGGGUGCAAGCGUUAAUCGGAAUUACUGGGCGUAAAGCGCACGCAGGCGGUCUGUCAAGUCGGAUGUGAAAUCCCCGGGCUCAACCUGGGAACUGCAUUCGAAACUGGCAGGCUAGAGUCUUGUAGAGGGGGGUAGAAUUCCAGGUGUAGCGGUGAAAUGCGUAGAGAUCUGGAGGAAUACCGGUGGCGAAGGCGGCCCCCUGGACAAAGACUGACGCUCAGGUGCGAAAGCGUGGGGAGCAAACAGGAUUAGAUACCCUGGUAGUCCACGCCGUAAACGAUGUCGAUUUGGAGGUUGUGCCCUUGAGGCGUGGCUUCCGGAGCUAACGCGUUAAAUCGACCGCCUGGGGAGUACGGCCGCAAGGUUAAAACUCAAAUGAAUUGACGGGGGCCCGCACAAGCGGUGGAGCAUGUGGUUUAAUUCGAUGCAACGCGAAGAACCUUACCUGGUCUUGACAUCCACAGAACUUUCCAGAGAUGGAUUGGUGCCUUCGGGAACUGUGAGACAGGUGCUGCAUGGCUGUCGUCAGCUCGUGUUGUGAAAUGUUGGGUUAAGUCCCGCAACGAGCGCAACCCUUAUCCUUUGUUGCCAGCGGUUAGGCCGGGAACUCAAAGGAGACUGCCAGUGAUAAACUGGAGGAAGGUGGGGAUGACGUCAAGUCAUCAUGGCCCUUACGACCAGGGCUACACACGUGCUACAAUGGCAUAUACAAAGAGAAGCGACCUCGCGAGAGCAAGCGGACCUCAUAAAGUAUGUCGUAGUCCGGAUUGGAGUCUGCAACUCGACUCCAUGAAGUCGGAAUCGCUAGUAAUCGUAGAUCAGAAUGCUACGGUGAAUACGUUCCCGGGCCUUGUACACACCGCCCGUCACACCAUGGGAGUGGGUUGCAAAAGAAGUAGGUAGCUUAACCUUCGGGAGGGCGCUUACCACUUUGUGAUUCAUGACUGGGGUGAAGUC
rnacentral:rRNA from 1 species